rnacentral:rRNA from 1 species
CCUACGGGCGGCAGCAGUGGGGAAUAUUGCACAAUGGGGGAAACCCUGAUGCAGCGACGCCGCGUGAGUGAAGAAGUAUUUCGGUACGUAAAGCUCUAUCAGCAGGGAAGAAAAUGACGGUACCUGACUAAGAAGCCCCGGCUAACUACGUGCCAGCAGCCGCGGUAAUACGUAGGGGGCAAGCGUUAUCCGGAUUUACUGGGUGUAAAGGGAGCGUAGACGGCAGCGCAAGUCUGGAGUGAAAUCCCAUGGCUUAACCAUGGAACUGCUUUGGAAACUGUGCAGCUAGAGUGCAGGAGAGGUAAGCGGAAUUCCUAGUGUAGCGGUGAAAUGCGUAGAUAUUAGGAGGAACACCAGUGGCGAAGGCGGCUUACUGGACUGUAACUGACGUUGAGGCUCGAAAGCGUGGGGAGCAAACAGGAUUAGAUACCCCUGUAGGC